rnacentral:sRNA from 1 species
CGCGUGGCGUUCAGGGCCUGACGGUUGCUAGGGUGACAGGGACACAACAUGGCGGCGGGAUCCCUAACGCUCUCCUUCGAGGGACCACCACGGAGAUCUUAGUGCGGGACCCCGCCUCAGGGAAGUGGAAAGAAGGGGGACAACCUUCCUGCUUCUUUCUUUUCCGUCCAGUGUCGGCAAGGGGUUGUCACCGGCUUCCGCAUCCAAGAUGAAGAACUAUAAAGCAAUUGGCAAAAUAGGAGAGGGAACGUUUUCUGAAGUUAUGAAGAUGCAAAGCCUGAGAGAUGGAAACUACUAUGCAUGUAAACAAAUGAAGCAGCGCUUUGAAAGUAUUGAGCAAGUCAACAACCUACGAGAGAUCCAAGCACUGAGGCGCCUGAAUCCGCACCCAAACAUUCUUAUGUUGCAUGAAGUGGUUUUUGACAGAAAAUCUGGUUCUCUUGCACUGAUAUGUGAACUUAUGGACAUGAAUAUUUAUGAGCUAAUACGAGGGAGAAGAUACCCAUUAUCAGAAAAAAAAAUUAUGCACUAUAUGUACCAGUUAUGUAAGUCCCUGGAUCAUAUUCACAGAAAUGGAAUAUUUCACAGAGAUGUAAAACCAGAAAAUAUACUAAUAAAGCAGGAUGUCCUGAAAUUAGGGGACUUUGGCUCCUGCCGGAGUGUCUAUUCCAAGCAGCCGUACACGGAAUACAUCUCCACCCGCUGGUACCGGGCCCCGGAGUGUCUCCUCACUGAUGGGUUCUACACGUACAAGAUGGACCUGUGGAGCGCCGGCUGUGUGUUCUACGAGAUCGCCAGUCUGCAGCCCCUCUUUCCUGGAGUAAAUGAACUGGACCAAAUCUCAAAAAUCCACGAUGUCAUCGGCACACCUGCUCAGAAGACCCUCACCAAGUUCAAACAGUAAGUAUUGUGUUCUGAGAGUGGAUGUGGACUCACUCCCCUGCUAGGACCUGCAGCAGGGCAAGCCCCUCCCUGUGCCUCCCUCAAACCCCUCUCAGGAGCUCCUUUGGCCGACUACAGGGGUUCAAGUUCACUUGAGGGCCAGUGAGUGGCUGCUCAGACAGAGCCCAUCACUUUAAGUGGUCUCAAAGGUGAGCUCUUCCUUGAGCAUCACAGAAAGAUUUGUCACAGGCUUUCUGAGGGCUGGGGAGUCAGGCUGUGUUCCCUGAGUAAUUUAAACAGGACUUAGAAGCCUUUGGGUGGAAACGUUCCCCAAGCACAGAGCAUAGGUGGUGAGGGCUUUCUGCAGCCCUCCACAGCCCUGCUGGCGGGGCCGAUGCCUGGAAGAGGUGUCCCCGGACUCUUAGGGUCAUUCUCAUGAAGCUGAGGCUGGGGAGUUGGGACUUCCCAGGGAGGGCCUGUGGGCUGAGGGGCAAGUGGCACCCAGCAGCCCCCACAUCCCAGGGAGGGAGAAGGUGGCAACAAUUUUGGACUCUUCUUUUUUUGUUAAAUUUUAUUCUUCUCAUGCGGGAAGGUGAUAUUAAUCUUUUAUAGGAAAGGUAGUUUUCUUACAUUUAUAGCAUAACAGAUCCCCCCCUUUAUAAUAGACUAUUUUUAAAUAGAUUUUUUAAAGAGCAGUUUUAGGUUUCCAUAGAGCCCUGUCCCCAUGUGCACACAGCCUCCCCUGUCGUCAGCACCUGCCUCAAGUGGUGUGUUUGUUAUGGUCGAUGAACCGUGGAUAUCUCAUUACUACACAGAGCCCAUCAUUUACAUCAGGGGUCCCUCUUGGUGGUGCACGUUCUGUGGGCUGGGACAGGUGUAGACUCUGCAGUCGUAGACCAUUCCCCACCACACAGGGCCCUUAGUUGUGACAGUGGACCACCGGUGCGCUCAGUGACAGCAUGACCAUUUAUUAUCAUUGGGUUUUUAAUACAGGUCGAGAGCUAUGAAUUUUGAUUUUCCUUUUAAAAAGGGAUCAGGAAUACCUCUACUGACAACCAAUUUGUCCCCACAAUGCCUCUCCCUCCUGCACGCAAUGGUGGCCUAUGAUCCCGAUGAGAGAAUCGCCGCCCACCAGGCCCUGCAGCACCCCUACUUCCAAGAACAGAGGAAAACAGAGAAGCGGGCUCUGGGCAGCCACAGAAAAGCUGGCUUUCCGGAGCACCCUGUGGCACCGGAACCACUCAGUAACAGCUGCCAGAUUUCCAAGGAGGGCAGAAAGCAGAAACAGUCCCUAAAGCAAGAGGAGGACCGUCCCAAGAGACGAGGACCGGCCUAUGUCAUGGAACUGCCCAAACUUAAGCUUUCUGGAGUGGUCAGACUGUCGUCUUACUCCAGCCCCACGCUGCAGUCCGUGCUUGGAUCUGGAACAAAUGGAAGAGUGCCGGUGCUGAGACCCUUGAAGUGCAUCCCUGCGAGCAAGAAGACAGAUCCGCGGAAGGACCUUAAGCCUGCCCCGCAGCAGUGUCGCCUGCCCACCAUAGCGCGGAAAGGCGGAAGAUAACUGAGCAGCACCGUCGUCUCGACUUCGGAGGCAACACCAAGCCCGACCGGGCCAGGCCUGGGCGAUCUGCUGCUGAGACGCCACGGAGGGCUGGGGAUGGGCCUGCGUCCGUUUCGCGCUGGCCGGGGCUCUGGGUGCUGCCCUGCGCCCUACCGCACCCGCGGCCCGCGCAGCUGCCUAGGAUGUUCUGGGCUAAUAUAUUUGUAAAACCACCGCAUUCUAGGGUUUUCUUUCAUUUUCGUUAAGAAUUUGGGGCAGGAAAUACUUUGUAACUUUAUAUAUGAAUCAAAACAAACGAGCAGGCAUUUCUGUGAUGUGUUGGGCGUGGUUGGAAGGUGGGUUCUGCGUGUCCCUUCCCAGCGCUGCUGGUCAGUCGUGGAGCGCCAUCAUGUCUUACCAGUGACGCUACUGACACCCCUGACUUUUAUUAAAGAAUAAGCUGUCGUUACA